UUUGGAUUUUGGACUCUGCCUUUUGCCUUCUUCCAUGAACCUCUCCUGUCUGCUUUGGAUUACUUGAUGCCUGGUUUUGUCUCCUGCUCUUCCAACCUGGUUUGUCUCCUUCAGCUCAAAACUGACAACAGGAGUGGAGAGGCUUUGACGCUGCAGUCAUGGCUGAGUGAAGUGCAGCUCCUCCUGAAAUGCAGAUUGGGAGCCAGGAGGCAGGAGAGACACCAGAAACAGCACAUUCAACAUAUUUUCACAAGCCAUACACACAGAAUCACUUAUGGAUGACCCCUUUUGGAUCCACUCACCAGACAGAUUUUACAGCCUCGUUCUGUGCAGUCUCUGAAUGCUUACAUGGUAACAGAAGAAGAACUGACGUCUUUGUCUGAACCUAUUCUCACUUCUUUCAGAAAAGUGAGUUCUUCAGCAGCAAGCACCCCAAGUGUAUUAAAGACAUUUCAUCUUGUGGCUGUCAUGGAACAGAUCCCACUCAUUUCCUCAUCUCUUUCUAAUUAUGCAAUGCUAUGUAUUUUAAAUUGCUCCAUAAAAUAGGUUUCAUAUAAAAACGUAAGGGUGCAGAACCCAAUUAGCACUGGAGCAAUGAGGAAGGCAUGCGGUUCCUGCUCAAUAGAGUCAGUUAUAACUGGACGUGGGGGUGUGUGUGUGGGUGUGUAAAAGUGAAAUGAGCCACAUGGGAGUCAUAUCCACCUGAACUGACAGAAUCACACAGCAAGUGCUGGGACAUAUUUUCAUGGUGCAUUAGGAGCUGGUAUUAAAUUGCAAGCAGAUUCAGAAAAUUGAUUUUGAUUUAAACUGACCUGAAAAUGUGGCAUUUAGUAGAGAUGGGCAUAAAAGAGCUUUAAAACCAGAAUUUUCUUUUGCUUUUGAAAAUGUUAAGCUGUAAUUUAAUAUAUUGCUUUUAUACCGAACAACACUGUCCUUCAAUUUAACAUUGAAUGUACAAUUAA